UUUUUGAAGGGUUUGAUCCUGGCUCAGAAUGAACGUUGGCGGCGUGGAUUAGGCAUGCAAGUCGAGCGAGAAUUUGCGAUUGGAAGCUUCGGCCGAAGAGAGCGAAGGAAAGCGGCAAACGGCGUAGUAAGGCGUAGGUACGUGCCCUCAGAUCGGGAAUAGCCACGGGAAACUGUGGGUAAUGCCCGAUAAUGUUUGAGGACCAAAGGUGAGAUUCCGUCUGAGGAGCGGCUUACGUGAUAUUAGCUAGUUGGUGAGGUAAUGGCUCACCAA
rnacentral:rRNA from 1 species